GUCCACGCCCUAAAACGAUGUCUACUAGUUGUUGGGAGAGUAAAAUCUCUUAGUAACGCAGCUAACGCGUGAAGUAGACCGCCUGGGGGAGUACGGUCGCAAGAUUAAAAACUCAAAGGAAUUGACGGGGGCCCGCACAAGCGGUGGAUUAUGUGGAUUAAUUCGAUGCAACGCGAAAAACCUUACCUGGCCUUGACAUGUACCGAAUUUAGCAGAGAUGCUUUAGUGCUCGAAAGAGAACGGUAACACAGGUGCUGCAUGGCUGUCAU
rnacentral:rRNA from 1 species